rnacentral:rRNA from 1 species
GAUGAACGCUGGCGGCGUGCUUAACACAUGCAAGUCGAACGAAGCACUUUAUUUGAUUUCCUUCGGGACUGAUUAUUUUGUGACUGAGUGGCGGACGGGUGAGUAACGCGUGGGUAACCUGCCUUGUACAGGGGGAUAACAGUUGGAAACGGCUGCUAAUACCGCAUAAGCGCACAGCAUCGCAUGAUGCAGUGUGAAAAACUCCGGUGGUAUAAGAUGGACCCGCGUUGGAUUAGCUAGUUGGUGAGGUAACGGCCCACCAAGGCGACGAUCCAUAGCCGACCUGAGAGGGUGACCGGCCACAUUGGGACUGAGACACGGCCCAAACUCCUACGGGAGGCAGCAGUGGGGAAUAUUGCACAAUGGGCGAAAGCCUGAUGCAGCGACGCCGCGUGAGCGAAGAAGUAUUUCGGUAUGUAAAGCUCUAUCAGCAGGGAAGAUAAUGACGGUACCUGACUAAGAAGCACCGGCUAAAU